GAUGAACGCUGGCGGCGUGCCUAAUACAUGCAAGUCGAGCGAACAGACGAGGAGCUUGCUCCUCUGACGUUAGCGGCGGACGGGUGAGUAACACGUGGAUAACCUACCUAUAAGACUGGGAUAACUUCGGGAAACCGGAGCUAAUACCGGAUAAUAUAUUGAACCGCAUGGUUCAAUAGUGAAAGACGGUUUUGCUGUCACUUAUAGAUGGAUCCGCGCCGCAUUAGCUAGUUGGUAAGGUAACGGCUUACCAAGGCAACGAUGCGUAGCCGACCUGAGAGGGUGAUCGGCCACACUGGAACUGAGACACGGUCCAGACUCCUACGGGAGGCAGCAGUAGGGAAUCUUCCGCAAUGGGCGAAAGCCUGACGGAGCAACGCCGCGUGAGUGAUGAAGGUCUUCGGAUCGUAAAACUCUGUCAUUAGGGAAGAACAAAUGUGUAAGUAACUAUGCACGUCUGGACGGUACCUAAGCAGAAAGCCACGGCUAACUACGU
rnacentral:rRNA from 1 species